UAAGGGUUCUGCUACAAUUUGAGUUUGAUUCACAAGGUGUUCGAUGAAAUGUCUCAACCAGAUUCUCUCUUCUUUUUGCUUCAGUUUUGAUUUUCUUAUGUUAUGAUGUUGUGUUGUUGAUGAUUUAUGUUCAAAUUGUAGCUUGUGAAUUGGUUAUGAUGUUGUCGUUAUUGCCGUCUUGCAACUUGCAUUUUCAAAUAAUCGCACUUGUUUAUAGUUCUCAUUUUUUGAUGUAUUGAAUUGAAUGCAUUUAUUCACUUGAUUCAGUUAUUUCUACAUUUCAGCAUGAUACCAAAUACUACUACAGAAUUGGAAGUGAGGAUUCUUCUCGAGAAUUUUGGGCAAUGAAACAAUCAAAUUGCUUUCAUAAGUUUGGCCACCAAGCAAACUUUAAAAUAUCAAGUAAUCAAUUCAUGGCCAUCUUUGGAGUUUCACAGAUUUUUCUAAGCCAAAUCCCAAAUUUCCAUGACCUUUCAUGGCUCUCUAUUCUUGCUGCAAUCAUGUCUUUUGGCUAUUCUUUCAUAGGCAUUGGACUCUCUAUAGCCCAAGUUGCAGGUUUCAUAUACUGUGGUGAUGAUGACUAUGACGACGAUUGGGAAGUUGCGGAGAGUACUGAAUUUGACGAAGCUUUCAGCACUUUCCAUUGACAUUCAGCUUCAGCUUUAUGGAUUGUACAAAGUUGCCACCGAAGGAGUGUGUUAUGGACUUACCAAAUUCCUGAGAGAAAGUUUCUUAUUAUUUCCCAAAUCCACAUUCACAAAGCCUGCAAAUGAUGACUUGUACAAUUCUCGGUUCAACGGGGAACUGUAUAGAAGUAUUCACUAGUUCUUGAAAUCUGUUACUCUCAGCAUAAUCGUCAAAUGCAGAUGGAGCAAUAGAUUAAGUGGAAUUAUGCAGACAUGGAAAUAGUUGUAGGUUCUAUCAUAAUGGACAAGCUGUUUCUGAGCUGUACGGAAACAGCAUUGCUGCUAACAAUGACAGACAAGUGAUUUCGCUUGGAUCACUGGCGAAACUAGAGUCGGAAAUCGUUGAACUUUUGAAACAAAGAGGAGGUGUUAUUUAAAUUGCUUCACUUCCAAUGGCAUACUAUGAUAAUUACAAAAAGCCUUACAGGAAGAAAGUUAUCUAGCUGAGAGCCAGCGACAUGGCCUCGUGGGCAGCAUGCGGUGGUUUUGGCCGAAGAUGCGGCAAAAUUCAUGGGAAAGGCGGACUGUCAAAAUAUUAGUGCAUCACAGCAAAUUUACUUGACAUUUCCAGCUGAUAGCACUUUCUCUGAAGAUAAUGUAUCAAACUACUUUAGGUACGCUUUUGUUCAAGAAUCCGAGAAAAGGAAGACGGCAAUUCUGAAAAGCGAAGCAAACCGAAAGCUCGUUCCGCCGCUACGCAACCGACGCGGACAACAACAACCACAUCGUUGUCAACGCCCACCACCGACCGAGAGCCACCACUCAACGGCAACAGCACCGGCCAGCCUCACAAUGCUAUUACCAAUCCAAGCUACCAUGACGCAGUUGCCGAUGCCCCCACUUCCGUUCGAGAAAAGAAAAGGGUGCAGAUCCAUCAUUGACCGAGUUCAAUUUUCGCACACAUCGGAAAAAGGAUCAAAGUUGGGUUGGAGUUCAUGCUGAAUCUACAUAUGAUAAAUUUGAACAGAAAAAGUUGGAGAUUUCUUCUCAUAAUCCAACUAUUCCAGGAGAGGACGAAGCUGAUAGUCAACCAACUAAUGAAAUGCCACCUGAUUUGGAUAUAUGGGUAGAGUCGGUUGGAAAGAAGAAAGGGAAUAGGGUAUUGGGUCUUGGAACCGCAUCUAAGACUUUGGUUUCUGUAUCAACAGGGGCGGAGCCAAGGCCCAGCUAGCCCGGGCAAGCGCCCGGGCUCAACCCCUAUUUUCUUUGUACUCUCCCAAUUUAAUAGUCGGUUUUUAGAUAAAAUCAAGGGU